AGAUUGAACGCUGGCGGCAUGCCUUACACAUGCAAGUCGAACGGCAGCACGGGAGCAAUCCUGGUGGCGAGUGGCGAACGGGUGAGUAAUAUAUCGGAACGUGCCCAGUCGUGGGGGAUAACGCAGCGAAGCUGUGCUAAUACCGCAUACGAUCUAUGGAUAGAAAGGCGGGGGGAUCGCAAGACCUCGCGCGAUUGGGAGCGGCCGAUAUCAAGUAUUAGUCUAGGUUGGGUAGGGGUAAAAGCCCUAACCGAAGGCCGGACGAUCUGUAGCUGGUCUGAGGAGGACCG
rnacentral:rRNA from 1 species